AGAUCUUGCUCCUGCCUGUAUGUGUGUGGAGUUCCUGAAGUCAACAGACCCAUGUGCUGUUGUGGUAAACCACAUCAUGGACUCGCGUACUUGCCGUCCUUCCUUCUAUCAUCAUCCUAGAGGACACCCCUAAAAGCUUUGUGCAGUGUUUAUACCAAGAAUUAACAGCAGGUACUUGAGGAGGGAUCUAGAGGAAGGCGUUGCCUUGGAGAUGGCCACAGCUCCAUGGGUGUCCCUGUCCUGGAGACCUUGCAGGGACACUAGAAGCAGCAGUUGAAAAGGAUGAUCUUGUACAGGCCAAAGCUGGAGUGGAGACAGCCGGCUCAGUGUGAAGUCUAUGAAGCUGUUCCAGAAUUAUCCAGCCGAAGGAUUGAGUAACAGAUGGCAAUAAACACACUCUAAUGGGC